rnacentral:rRNA from 1 species
GAUGAACGCUAGCGGCAGGCCUAACACAUGCAAGUCGAGGGAGAAGCCUUCGGGCUGAAACCGGCGCACGGGUGCGUAACGCGUAUACAAUCUGCCUUUCACAUAGGGAUAGCCCGAAGAAAUUUGGAUUAAUACCUAAUGGUAUAUAAGAGCGGCAUCGUUUUUAUAUUAAAGCUACGGUGGUGAAAGAUGAGUAUGCGUUCUAUUAGCUAGUUGGAGAGGUAACGGCUCCCCAAGGCGACGAUAGAUAGGGGUUCUGAGAGGGAUGUCCCCCACACUGGUACUGAGAUACGGACCAGACUCCUACGGGAGGCAGCAGUGAGGAAUAUUGGACAAUGGUCGGAAGACUGAUCCAGCCAUGCCGCGUGCAGGAUGAAGGUCCUAUGGAUUGUAAACUGCUUUUGUAAGGGAAGAAUAAGGAGUACGAGUACUUUGAUGACGGACCUACGAAUAAGCUCGCAUCC